rnacentral:misc_RNA from 1 species
GUUGCGCACAGAAAAUUGCAGCCAGAGGCGGCGGAGGAAGUGUUGGCUCGAUGAAUCCGGUGACGACGACAUAGGCUGGAGGUAGGCCCACGCCGCCUGCUUGACGAGGCGGGUUGCGAAUAGAAAUUUCGCAAGCGGAACCGCAGGCGGAAGCAGCGCCAGUGGGGGAGUUGACGGCUGUGGAAGGGAGGAUGUCCUUAAGAGAAGUGUAAGAUAAGGAGGAUUUGAAAGAGGACAGCUCGAAGUCAAGUGGUGGAGAGGAGGCGACGCCGUUGCCGUUUGUGUGGUGAGGAGGGAGGCUGGAGGUGUGGAGAGGUUUGGAAGGGAUAGCAAGCUCAGUGGGUAUGACUACAGAUGUGGCAAUGGAGUUCCGGCGGCGGAGAGCUGGUUGAGGCCCUGCUUUAUCCAUGGAGAGAGAGGGAGAAAGGGGGCCGUUAAAAAUAAUGGCGAAAGAUUUUCAAAGAAGAGAAGAAGGGACACACACCCCCUCUCUCUCUUUUUGUCGCAACGGCGGCUCGUUU